rnacentral:rRNA from 1 species
CAGUCGCCGCGGUAAUACAGAGGGUGCAAGCGUUAAUCGGAAUUACUGGGCGUAAAGCGCGCGUAGGUGGUUCGCCAAGUUGGAUGUGAAAUCCCCGGGCUCAACCUGGGAACUGCAUCCAAAACUGGCGAGCUAGAGUAUGGUAGAGGGUGGUGGAAUUUCCUGUGUAGCGGUGAAAUGCGUAGAUAUAGGAAGGAGCAUCAGUGGCGAAGGCGACCACCUGGACUGAUACUGACACUGAGGUGCGAAAGCGUGGGGAGCAAACAGGAUUAGAUACCCGCGUAGUCCCUGUCUCUUAUAC